rnacentral:rRNA from 1 species
UACAGAGGUGGCAAACGUUGUCCGGAUUUAUUGGGUGUAAAGGGCAUGUAGGUGGUCUUGUAAGUCAAAGGUGAAAUGGCCCGGCUUAACCAGGUCAUUGCCUUUGAAACUGCAGGGCUUGAGUACGGAAGAGGAAAGCGGAAUUCCCAGUGUAGCGGUGAAAUGCGUAGAUAUUGGGAGGAACACCGGUGGCGAAGGCGGCUUUCUGGUCCGAAACUGACACUGAGAUGCGAAAGCCAGGGGAG